GCCCAUUUUAAUGGCAAGUCGAACGGUAAACGCGGGGAGAAGCUUGCUUCUCUCCGGCGACGAGUGGCGAACGGGUGAGUAAUACAUCGGAACGUGUCCGCUCGUGGGGGACAACCAGCCGAAAGGUUGGCUAAUACCGCAUGAGUUCUACGGAAGAAAGAGGGGGACCCGCAAGGGCCUCUCGCGAGCGGAGCGGCCGAUGACUGAUAGCCGGUUGGUGAGGUAACGGCUCACCAAAGCAACGAUCAGUAGCUGGUCUGAGAGGACGACCAGCCACACUGGGACUGAGACACGGCCCAGACUCCUACGGGAGGCAGCAGUGGGGAAUUUUGGACAAUGGGCGCAAGCCUGAUCCAGCUAUUCCGCGUGUGGGAUGAAGGCCCUCGGGUUGUAAACCACUUUUGUAGAGAACGAAAAGACACCUUCGAAUAAAGGGUGUUGCUGACGGUACUCUAAGAAUAAGCACCGGCUAACUACGUGCCAGCAGCCGCGGUAAUACGUAGGGUGCGAGCGUUAAUCGGAAUUACUGGGCGUAAAGGGUGCGCAGGCGGUUGAGUAAGACAGAUGUGAAAUCCCCGAGCUUAACUCGGGAAUGGCAUAUGUGACUGCUCGACUAGAGUGUGUCAGAGGGAGGUGGAAUUCCACGUGUAGCAGUGAAAUGCGUAGAUAUGUGGAAGAACACCGAUGGCGAAGGCAGCCUCCUGGGACAUAACUGACGCUCAGGCACGAAAGCGUGGGGAGCAAACAGGA
rnacentral:rRNA from 1 species